rnacentral:RNase_P_RNA from 1 species
GAAGUCGGCCAGGCAGUCGCGCCAUCCUUCGGGAUGUCGAGGAAAGUCCGGGCUCCGCAGGGCAGAGUGCCAGGUAACGCCUGGGCGGCGCGAGCCGACGGAAAGUGCAACAGAAAGAUACCGCCCAAGACUGCGCAGGCAGGACGGCAAGGGUGAAAUGGUGCGGUAAGAGCGCACCGCGAGUCCGGCAACGGACCGGCACGGCAAACCCCACUCGGAGCAAGGCCAAAUAGGGAUGCGAUGCCACGGCCCGUGGCGCAUCCGGGUAGGCUGCUUGAGCGCUGCGGCGACGCAGCGCCUAGAGGAAUGACUGUCCCAGACAGAACCCGGCUUAUCGGCCGGCUUCGCCA